GGACACUUGAUGGUCACUGAUUUUCUUUGACAUUUUGGCUUAAGCUGGACGUCAAUGUCCUAUCCUUCACUGUCGUCAUCAAAAUCUUGGUCGUCAUCUGAAUAUGAAAAACCUGCUAAUCCUCCCCAGCCCUCAUCAUCGUCAUACUCUCGUUGGUCUUUCCACAGCUUUGAUUUAACGACCAUGUUCUCAUCUUAGC
rnacentral:lncRNA from 1 species